rnacentral:rRNA from 1 species
AUUGAACGCUGGCGGCAUGCCUUACACAUGCAAGUCGAACGGUAACAGGGAGCUUGCUCCGCUGACGAGUGGCGAACGGGUGAGUAAUGUAUCGGAACGUACCAUUCAGUGGGGGAUAACGUAGCGAAAGUUACGCUAAUACCGCAUAUUCUGUGAGCAGGAAAGCAGGGGGUCGCAAGACCUUGCGCUGAUUGAGCGGCCGAUAUCAGAUUAGCUAGUUGGUGAGGUAAAGGCUCACCAAGGCGACGAUCUGUAGCGGGUCUGAGAGGAUGAUCCGCCACACUGGAACUGAGACACGGUCCAGACUCCUACGGGAGGCAGCAGUGGGGAAUUUUGGACAAUGGGGGCAACCCUGAUCCAGCCAUGCCGCGUGAGUGAAGAAGGCCUUCGGGUUGUAAAGCUCUUUCGGCCGGGAAAAAUACGCAUCAGUUAAUACCUGGUGUGGAUGAUGGUACCGGAAUAAGAAGACACCGGCUAACUACGUGCCACG